rnacentral:ncRNA from 1 species
AAAGUGGGGGUGGUCAAAGGUCAAAUUUCUAAAAAUUUAUUCCUAGGUGGUUCGAUAAAAUUNAUAAUUUAAUUUCAGUUAAUUGGUUAAUUGAAUUAAUUGAUCUAUAAAUUUAAACUUGAAAUGUUGAUUAUUUAAAUAGUGAUUACUUGUGUAGAGAUUUAAAUUAAAAAUGAAUGAAGGUUUGAUUUAGUUAUUAAAUUUAACAAAGGUAAUUUUAGUGCCAGCAACAGCGGUUAGACUUAAUUUGUAAGUUAAUCUAUAUAAUUUUUGAAUUAAUGUAUUAUAAUAAUGUUUGACUAAAUUUAUUGAAUUAUGGUGAAAUAUUCUUCUUUAGAUAUAUUAAAUUUUAUUUAACUAAUGUUUAUUAAAUUUUACAAUAGACUAGGAUUAGAUACCCUAUUAUAAAAACGAUUUGUAGUUGAGUUAAUUAUUAAAUGUAGAUCAUUAAAAUUAAUAAAUGUGGCGGCUUUGUAAUUUAUUUAGAGGAACUUGUGUAUGAAUUGAUGAACCACUAUAGGAUAGACUAUAAUUUAUUAACUUUGUGUAUUGCUGUUUGAAGAGUUUAUUAAUAUAUUAUUCUUUGAAUAUUUUAUUUAAAAAUAGUAAUUCAAGUCAAAAUGCGGGUUAUUAUAGAUUGCAUGAGUUACAUUGGAUUAUGGUUAUGGAUAAAUUAUUUUAAUAUAAUUUUGAAAUUGGAUUUAAAAGUAAAUUUAUUGAAUUAAAUUUAUUGAAGAUAAUUUUAUUUAGUGUACAAAUUGCCCGUCAUUCUCAUUAUAAGUGAGGAAAGUCGUAACAUAGUAAAUGUACUGGAAAGUGUAUUUUUUGGAGA